rnacentral:rRNA from 1 species
UAAUACGGAGGGUGCAAGCGUUGUCCGGAUUUAUUGGGUUUAAAGGGUGCGUAGGCGGCCCGAUAAGUCCGUGGUGAAAGCCUCCAGCUCAACUGGAGAACUGCCAUGGAUACUGUCGGGCUUGAGUACAGACGAGGUAGGCGGAAUUGAUUGUGUAGCGGUGAAAUGCAUAGAUACAAUCAAGAACUCCGAUUGCGUAGGCAGCUUACUAGGCUGUAACUGACGCUGAGGCACGAAAGCGUGGGGAGCGAACAGGAUUAGAUACCCUGGUAGUCCACGCUGUAAACGAUGAUUACUCGAUGUUGGCGAUAAACUGUCAGCGUCUUAGCGAAAGCGUUAAGUAAUCCACCUGGGGAGUACGCCCGCAAGGGUG